rnacentral:tRNA from 1 species
GUUAUUUUGGCAGAUUAGUGCAAUAAAUUUAGAAUUUAUUUAUGUAAGGAUAUUACAGAUAAUACUUGUAUUU